AUUGAACGCUGGCGGCAUGCCUUACACAUGCAAGUCGAACGGCAGCACGGGAGCAAUCCUGGUGGCGAGUGGCGAACGGGUGAGUAAUAUAUCGGAACGUGCCCAGUCGUGGGGGAUAACGCAGCGAAAGCUGUGCUAAUACCGCAUACGAUCUACGGAUGAAAGCGGGGGAUCGCAAGACCUCGCGCGAUUGGAGCGGCCGAUAUCAGAUUAGUUAGUUGGUGGGGUAAAGGCCCAACAAGGCGACGAUCUGUAGCUGGUCUGAGAGGACGACCAGCCCCACUGGAACUGAGACACGGUCCAGACUCCUACGGGAGGCAGCAGUGGGGAAUUUUGGACAAUGGGCGCAAGCCUGAUCCAGCAAUGCCGCGUGCAGGAUGAAGGCCUUCGGGUUGUAAACUGCUUUUGUACGGAACGAAACGGCCCUUUCUAAUACAGGGGGCUAAUGACGGUACCGUAAGAAUAAGCACCGGCUAACUACGUGCCAGCCGCCGCGGUAA
rnacentral:rRNA from 1 species